CAGUUCAGCUCCACAGACACCUCCACUGAGGAGCCCACUAUUAAACAUGAGUCCUCUUCACCACCGCCCGCCUUGUCUCUUCGCCUUGACGUGAUGCGGACCAUGCUGAGAGGCCCAGCUAUACAGAUUGGAGUGUGAGCCAACACAGCACCAGAUGUAAAGACAGGGUCACCCCAUGGAGAGAGGAGCCCAGCAGAGACUGGGGGCAACAGGAAAGCAGGCCAGGGGUAGUGAGAGAGGGCCGCCCUGGAGAUCGUGCUCCAUCACCCUCUCCCAUACACAUUACCCUGGGACAGUCCCCCGCCCUGCCUCCCAGUGCACAGCAGCCCCGGGAGGUCGUAGCUCAGCUGCUGCAGGAGGCUGAAGAUUCAGACGAGCAAGAGUUUAAAGACGACCCCUUACUGAAUGUCUUAAGGCAGCAGAGGAUGGGUGAAGGAGCAAAUCAGCGAGGUGGACUCACUGUUGGAUGAAUUCCAGGAAGCGUGAUCACUGGUGGUGAGCACACACAUGGAACAAAAACAAUCAAUUCAACAGCAUUUUUGUACCGAAAUAUAGUGCAUUUAUUUUUGUUAACAAAUUCUCUUUUUUACAAUGAAUAGUUAAAUAUACAACAACCUUACUGUUGGGUUUUGUGAACAUACUUGAUAAUCUGAGUGUUAAAACCUUUACACGUGAUUUAGAGGGCAUUAGACACACCACACAAUCAAAUCAACAUUUUCAAUGGUUUUAUAUCAUGUUUACAAUGAAUGGUUCCAUAAAAAUAUUAAGAUUGAGUUAAAUGGGAUUCUUUCGGAUGAGGGAUGCUUUUAAAUGAGCGAUCUGUCCUGUUAAUAUGUACAAACCUCAUUUUA
rnacentral:lncRNA from 1 species